rnacentral:rRNA from 1 species
AGUAACGCGUGAGUAACCUGCCUUUCAGAGGGGGAGUAACGUUCUGAAAAGAACGCUAAUACCGCAUGAGACUACAGAGCUGCAUGGCUCAGUGGUCAAAGGAGCAAUCCGCUGAAAGAUGGACUCGCGUCCGAUUAGAUAGUAGGCGGGGUAACGGCCCACCUAGUCGACGAUCGGUAGCCGGACUGAGAGGUUGAACGGCCACAUUGGGACUGAGACACGGCCCAGACUCCUACGGGAGCCAGCAUG